rnacentral:rRNA from 1 species
ACGCUCGACACCUACGGGAGGUAGCAGUGGGGAAUAUUGCACAAUGGGGGAAACCCUGAUGCAGCGACGCCGCGUGGAGGAAGAAGGUCUUCGGAUUGUAAACUCCUGUUGUUGGGGAAAAAGAGGAUGGUACCCAACAAGGAAGUGACGGCUAACUACGUGCCCGCAGCCGCGGUAAUCUGAGCGGGCUGGCAAGGC